ACAGGAUUAGAUACCCUGGUAGUCACGCCGUAAACGAUGAAUACUAGGUGUAGGGGUUGUCAUGACCUCUGUGCCGCCGCUAACGCAUUAAGUAUUCCGCCUGGGGAGUACGGUCGCAAGAUUAAAACUCAAAGGAAUUGACGGGGGCCCGCACAAGCAGCGGAGCAUGUGGUUUAAUUCGAAGCAACGCGAAGAACCUUACCUAGACUUGACAUCUCCUGAAUUACCUUUAAUCGGGGAAGUCCCUUCGGGGACAGGAAGACAGGUGGUGCAUGGUUGUCGUCAGCUCGUGUCGUGAGAUGUUGGGUUAAGUCCCGCAACGAGCGCAACCCUUAUUGUUAGUUGCUACCAUUUAGUUGAGCACUCUAGCGAGACUGCCCGGGUUAACCGGGAGGAAGGUGGGGAUGACGUCAAAUCAUCAUGCCCCUUAUGUCUAGGGCUACACACGUGCUACAAUGGCCGGUACAAAGAGAUGCUAAACCGUGAGGUGGAGCUAAACUAUAAAACCGGUCUCAGUUCGGAUUGUAGGCUGAAACUCGCCUACAUGAAGCUGGAGUUGCUAGUAAUCGCGAAUCAGAAUGUCGCGGUGAAUACGUUCCCGGGCCUUGUACACACCGCCCGUCACACCAUGAGAGUUGGCAAUACCCAAAGUUCGUGAGCUAACGCGUAAGCGAGGCAGCGACCUAAGGUAGGGUCAGCGAUUGGGGUGAAGUCGUAACAAGGUAACCAAGGGC
rnacentral:rRNA from 1 species